UGUGUUGUAUAGGAAAUCUCAAAGUGAAGAAAUUCAAUGAAACUCAGGUAAACCACGGGAGUAACUAUGACUCUCUUAAGGUAGCCAAAUGCCUAGUCGUCUAAUUAGUGACGCACAUGAAU
rnacentral:ncRNA from 1 species